UUACGGCCACAUCACGUUAAACACCGGUUCCCGUACGAUCACAGACGUUAAGCAACGUUGAUCCUGGUCGGUACAUAGAUGGGUGACCGCUUGGGAACACCAGGUGCUGUAAU